GUCGUAUGGUACAGGGUGGACCUGCAACUCCCCUCCCUCCUCUGGACCUCAGCAUCCUUCUGUGGGAGGUGAGUCUGUCCAAGCUGUCUUCCCAGGACCCUAACGGUCUGCGAUAAACUGAAGGAGCCUCCGAACAGAGCAAGGAGAGCCUGCAAACAUUUGCUUCUGUGCAGGGGCCCACCCGGGACCUAAGUGGACAUAAAGUUGUAAUUUCUUGCAACUUAAUUAUUUUAUAGAAUUUUAGAACUGGCAGAUAUCUCAGAGAUCAUGUACAUUGCACCCUUGACUUUUUACACAUGAAAGAACAGAGGGCUACAUCGGUUAUGUGGCUCAUAAGAGGCCAGAGAAGCCAUCGGCAGUGGUGAGAGCCUGGAUAUGCAAAUGGACAACAGCCAGACCAGUUGUGGACACAGAGCCUGGAGAUACAAGCUGUAGCCACCAGCCCAGACCAGUUGUGGACACAGAGCCUGGAGAUACAAGCUGUAGCCACCAGCCCAGGAGCUGGCCCACUGUCUAUAAGCCAGGAGCACAGGAAGUGAGGCCACUGUCUCCACAGCAACCAGCCCAGGAGCCAGCCUGCUAUCUACAAGCCAGGCUUGUGAGAAGUGAGGCCACUGUCUCCACAGCAACCAGCCCCGCUAUUUACAGCCCAGUGCUCACUGUCCCUAGCCUGGUCUUGAGUUGUUCCCACAGCAGUGAAGCCGGGAUUAGAUGUCAGGCCUCUGGGUCCUUCCCCAAGCUCUCUCCAUAGCCACACUGCCCAGAAGGAAAAUAUGGGUAGUUCCGACAAGUAAGUCGUGGCUGCUGUUUGCUAGCGACUGGGCCUCUGAGGGCCGCUGGGAGGCCCCCAGCAGUUCUCGCGACGUUCCUUUGGAGACAUGCAUUCUAAGGCCCAGACAAUCCGUUGACCACUAGACUUUGAGAAUUGUUUUCCCUAACGUGGCACUAGCCGGCUGCAUGAACCCAUAGUCACCUGCCUCUAUGUUGGAGUCACAUCUCUUACUUGCUGUCACACAGAUUUUACUUUACAAUUCUUCUCUAAAAUGGGCCCCACUCCCCCCACCUCUGCACAGUCUGGGUUUGGCCUCCCAGUUCUCUCAUGGAGGCUGAGACGUCUCAAGAGCGUUUCUGUACUCCAGCUGCGCGUCCCCAGGCACGAGCGCUCGUUAAUUUCCCUGAGAUGCCGUGCCUAGUUUGAAUAUUUUUUCAGUCACUGUGCAGCGUGACAGUCAAAAACACAACUGACUCAACUAAGUCAGAUGGGUACAGAAACCCUUCGCAUCAUUUUAAUAUUAAAAUUCCCCCAGGUUUACAAUGUGGUCCAUUGAAAAAAGGGUUUAAAGACAUAAUGCAGUUUACAAUCCUAAACCCAA
rnacentral:lncRNA from 1 species